rnacentral:rRNA from 1 species
UUGUGCAGCCAUAUCACUCUGCAACUCACAACUGGCAACCCACUGAAGCUCAGCAGGUGUGAGCCUGGUCAGUACCUGGAUGGGAGGCCUCCUGGGAAAAACUAAGGUUGUUGUGGAAG